GCCACCCAGGCGCCCCAGGAAUUACUGUUUCUGCUAAAGCCCCAGGAGCUGUGCAACCUGCUCAUCCCUCCUGCCACUCGGGUUCUGUGCAGGCUGCCUUGAACACACUAGCCCCGUGGCACCACUGACCUGUAGAGAGAAAGGCAUCCCAUCCUGUGGACAAUCAUCCACCCAGACUAGGUGCAGAUCAUGGGCUCUGUGGAACUGCAACUGCUUAAGGCACAGAAUAGUGUGGAAAAGCCUAGUAUCUGCCGUUUCCUGUCUCUUUUGAGAUACUUGCUCUUGGAUCCCAGCCACCAUGCUGUAAGGAAGUCCAAGCCACCCUGUGGAGAGAAGCCGCAUGCAGCAGCAACUCGAAAGCCCGGUGAGUGAGUCAUCUUGGAAGUGGCUCUUCCAGCCCCAGCUGACGCCAUGUGGGGCAGAGGUGAGCUGUCCCUGCGGAGCUCUCCCUGUUGUACAGCUUUUCGUGCAAACUACAUGAUUGUGCUGUCUUAAGUCCCUAAUUUUUGGAGUGGUUUGUGUGUAGCCAUAGAUAACAGAUGCAUCCCCUGCCCCCCUCCCCAAACUGGGGGCCACAGGCUUGGGAGGCGGGAAAUGGGCCAGCUCGUUGUCCCUGGAGCUGGGACCUAGGUCAGCACUUCUUUCUUCAACAAAUAUUUGUUGAGUGUCCACCAAGUGCUAGACACUGUUCCAAGGGCCAAGGAGUUAGCAGUGAAUGAGACAGACCUGGAGAAAGGGGGUUGGGGAGAACCGUCUUCUUGGGGGAGGUUAUUUCUAAGCUGAGGCCUGUCUAAGAAAGAGGAGUCAGCCAUGCCCAGAAGCAGAGAAAGGGCAGAUGCAAUACCAUGUGCUAGUUCUGGGUGAGGUUGCCAGAUUUG